UUAGUUUGGCUUCAGAUUUAAUGACAAAAUGUUCUCUGGCCUGUGUUUAUAAACACACACCUUAAAAGCUAGUCAUUUGUAAAAAUGAGUAAGGGUCCCAAACUUCAUCUUCCACCUGGGUCUCCUUUCUUGAGCCCUUGUUGAGUCAGCUGUUCUUGUUUCCUUGGGAUUUCUGACCCUGCAUUUGGUUCUCUCCAGUCUAACCACAUUGGGAGGGCCCAUAAAGCAGCAGUGUAUUAUGUCAUGGAUUCCACAGAGCUGCUGCAGCGUUCUUUCCCAACAAAAGUGGUUGCAGCAGCUCUGAGGUCCUCUAUAGCUCUGUUUUUCAAAGAUUCUCCUGUGUGUCAUAGAGGGGCAGCACUUACGAUGGAAGGAUACAGAGCUGGGACCCAGGCAUCCAGAGGUUGAAGGAAAGCUCCCCGGAGGAGACCUGGAAUGGAGCUUGCAAUGGCUUUGCCUGCCUGCCUGUCCCGUGGCUCUGCCCAGCUUCUUCCAUCUUUCCCAGAGGAGAACAGUUGCGAGCGCUUCUUCACACCCCACAGGCGGGGACAACAAGCCACGCCCUCCUUCUCUGUCUCUCUUCCCAAGCGUCAGAGCAUCUUCAGGCAAGAGCCCCUCAUUUCCUCGCAAAAUCCUACACUUUGGAGAGCACUCAUUCUCUUGAAGAUGAUCUACCAUUAAAGGACUGCCUCACCCAUGGAACAUACUCAGUUAUUCAAAUUCCACCAAGAAUGAGUUACAAAAGACUGGACAAAUUCUUUGCAACUCAGUAAAUCAGUGCAUCACUUUGUACCAUGUCUUUGAAACUACCCCCGUUGGCUCCUUUGGACUGACUGAAAUGUUUUGAACAGCUCUUCGGGCUCAUUCUUCUUGCAUCCUGGAAUGACCUUCCCUACUUCCAAGACUGACAACACUCCCACCUCUCGGCAGUGUCUCUCUCUCUGCUCUCACAGUGCACCCUUUGUACCUGUGACCUGACUCUUAUUUUGUUCUGUUUGAUUUGAUUGCCAGUUGUCUACCUCCAUCUCUAACAUUACAUUUGAACUUCCUGAGCCCAGGGACUGUGUCUUAUCUAGUCUGAGACUUUCCGAAGUGCCUGAUGCAUAGUAGAUCCUCUAUAUAUGUUGGUGGAAAUGACAUGAGACUGUGAUUCAAGUUCUGUGUUCUCUCAUCUAAAAUGUACAAAGCCUCAUGGUCUACUUAUUAACCACCAAAUUCGUCAACCUCCAACAGAAAAUAACGAUUGCCUCUCCUCACACCCACAUUCCCUUUUUGGAGCCUGUGACUGUGCAGAAUUAAACCAGGCAGUAUUUAUGACUUUAGCUAUGAUGGUGACAAUUGAUGUUGAAAUUAAAAAGAAAACUGUAAAGUAUUCUUUUUUAUAACUUUUUAAAAAACUUUUUAUUUUGUAUUGGAGUAGAGCCAAUUAACAAUAUUGUGAUAGCUUAAGGUGGACUGCAAAGGGACUCAGCCAUACACAUAUAUAUGUGUUUAUUCUCCUCUAAACUCCUCUCCUGUCCAGGCUACCAGAUAACAUUGAGCAGAGUUCCAUGUGCUAUAGUAAGUCCUUGUUGGUUAUCCAUUUUAAAUAUAGCAGUAUAGUUUUCUGUGUAAAAGUCUUCCUUCAUAGGAUUUAUUCCUGUGUAUUUGAUGAUUUUUCUUGGUAUUGUGUCAUUUUUAAUAUUCAUUUUCUAAUUAUUCUCAUAUGGAAAUAUGAUUUAUGCAUAUUAACCUUGAAAAAAAAAGAAAUUAAAAAGGACACAGAGGGACAGAUUACCUCUAGACAAAGAGGAAGACUGGUUUAAAAACAGACUAUUUCAGACAGCUGUGGGCCAGUCAGGAACUGAAGCAAACAUUUCAUUGAGUUUUGCUUAUAGUUGCCAAUUCUUGUACUUUUUCCCCUUUAUGUAUCUAAAACCAUGUGCUUAUAAUAUUCCUUAAGCACCCUUUUCAUCAUUACUUGCUUUUACUUUUCUUUACCUGCUCCUGGUAAUUCCCUAAUUAAAAAUCCAUCAUAAUACCCAACUUUCUUUUUUUGAAUUGAAGGAAGUUUUUAUUUACAGUAGAUGGAAUUCUAUUAUACUUUUGCCAUUUUGGCUACAUGGUAUCCUUUUCUUCUCCUAGGACCCUGAGUCCCAAGUAUUUUGUAAGGUCUGUUCAUGGACAGGCAUCCUGGGGCAUAGCUUCAAGGGCUUUCCAGGUUGGGAGAAAAAAAAAAUCACAAUGAUCUCACUCUUGGAAGCGCAAGUAGGCCAAGUGUCCCAGGACAGACCCUGUCAACAACACAGAAUUCAGUACAUGUGUCCUUAAUCUGCCCCAUCGUUGAAGUCCUUGUCCUGAGACUCAAACUCAAACCUUGUGAGUCAGUCUUGACUAGGUUUAAAGUACGGAGCUGUGAGCCCCACCCGUGGGUGGGCUCCAGAAUUAAUUAGUCCUGGUUGCCAGUCCUGCCAUCUGCGUAUGCCUUUCCCCAUAACCUGCAGGGCAUUUACAGGCAUCAGUCAACAUGAGUAAGGGCUGAGUAUUAGGAUGGGACUUUGUGUUUCUCUUUUCCUACCUAGUCCUUUAGUUGGGUCCAGCCUGAGAGGCAAUGCGAAAUACUUAAUAGAAAGAAACACCAAUCUAGAGUCAAGCUAAUCUAGUCUUCCUCUCACUUCCAUUUCUUAUUAUUGUUUGGUCUUGGGCAUAUUAUAAUCUCUUUUCUUACUUGGAAAAUGGGAAGAAUAAUACUUGCAUUAUUAUUCAUUACAAUAAUUAAAUGACCAGAGGGAUGUGCAGAUGGUAUUAUUUUUGUUUCUGUCUUCCCUUAAACUGGAGUUCUGUCCUUCAAACCCAGGGAGUCCAAUGAGGGUGGCAUCCCAGAUCCUAUCCUCUGGUGCAGUGUCCACCUGCCAGCUCCCUCCAUUGAUAACUUGACUUCCACUUGAGUCCACUUCCAUAACUCCUUGGAAGUAACAGCAGCCCAAAUAAACACAAGGUCAUUGUGUCCUCUGGACUUGUUAUUCUGGAUUGGUGGUUGCUUUCCCUGGGGCACAGUUUGGCUGUUGAUUCAGUUUUCCCUCUCUUAGCCUUAGCUGGUUCAGGACGCUCCCAUCCCUCUGCUCAAGGCCAGUAAGACACAGGCAAGCAGAGUGGAAUAGUGAGUGUUUGAGUUUACAGGCGUUGGGGUUGCACAGCUUGAGCUUAAUCCCCAUUGCCACUACUUCCUUACUGUGAGACUUUAGGCAAGCCUCUCAACUCCUCUGAAGACUCAGUCCUUCCAUCUUUAAAGACAGCUUCAGAGUAUUAUGUAACUCUAAGACGGUGGGGAGAGUCACUUGAAAAAAUACGUAUGAAGCUCUUAGCAAAGUUGUUGUUGUUCAGUCACUAAGUCGUGUCCGACUCUUUGUGACCCCUUGGAGGACAGCAUGCCAGGCUUCCCUGUCCUUCACUGUCUCCUGGAGUUUGCUCAAACUCGUGUCCAUUGUGUCAGUGAUUAGCAUAAUGAGUGCUCAAUUAGUAUUGCCUAAUAUUUUAUGCUUUGUGGCUGAGCCCAGCUGUGUGCUGAUAAUAAGCACUAAUCAUGAAGCGGUAUUUCUGUCCUGAAUACUGCUUACCUGUCAGUAUUGGAAUCAGGCCACUACUGUUGUCUGUCAAGUUAGGCAGUUUCAAUUUUGUGUGAUGUAUUUUGGGUGAAGGGAUGAGUGAUUCACUGGCUACAUGUACAUUGGAACAUGGUUUUUAUUUGCUUUACCUCCUCUAGUCACAACUGACCUCAGAGUUUGGGUUUGAGGUAAGGAAAGAGUAAUCAGUCAAGAUUCUUACUUUAUCUCUGUUAGUAUGUUUAUUUCGUUGUUGUUCAGUUGCUAAGCUGUGUCCAACUCUUUGCAGCCCCAGGAACUACAGCAUGCCAG